rnacentral:rRNA from 1 species
AUGAACGCUGGCGGCGUGCCUAAUACCUGCAAGUCGAGCGAACAGACGAGGAGCUUGCUCCUCUGACGUUAGCGGCGGACGGGUGAGUAACACGUGGAUAACCCUACCUAUAAGACUGGGAUAACUUCGGGAAACCGGAGCUAAUACCGGAUAAUAUAUUGAACCGCAUGGUUCAAUAGUGAAAGACGGUUUUGCUGUCACUUAUAGAUGGAUCCGCGCCGCAUUAGCUAGUUGGUAAGGUAACGGCUUACCAAGGCGACGAUGCGUAGCCGACCUGAGAGGGUGAUCGGCCACACUGGAACUGAGACACGGUCCAGACUCCUACGGGAGGCAGCAGUAGGGAAUCUUCCGCAAUGGGCGAAAGCCUGACGGAGCAACGCCGCGUGAGUGAUGAAGGUCUUCGGAUCGUAAAACUCUGUUAUUAGGGAAGAACAAAUGUGUAAGUAACUAUGCACGUCUUGACGGUACCUAAUCAGAAAGCCACGGCUAACUACGUG